rnacentral:rRNA from 1 species
GAUCAUGGCUCAGGAUGAACGCUAGCGGCAGGCUUAACACAUGCAAGUCGAGGGGCAGCGCGAUGUAGCAAUACAUUGGCGGCGACCGGCGCACGGGUGCGUAACACGUAUGGAACUUACCCUUUACUGGGAGAUAGCCCGGAGAAAUCCGGAUUAAUAUCCCAUAAUAAACGAAGUGGCAUCACUUUGUUUUGAAAGCUCCGGCGGUAAAGGAUGGCCAUGCGCACGAUUAGCUAGUAGGUGAGGUAACGGCUCACCUAGGCUACGAUCGUUAGGGGGCCUGAGAGGGUUAUCCCCCACACUGGUACUGAGACACGGACCAGACUCCUACGGGAGGCAGCAGUGAGGAAUAUUGCGCAAUGGAGGCAACUCUGACGCAGCCAUGCCGCGUGCAGGAAGAAGGCGCUACGCGUUGUAAACUGCUUUUAACCGGGAAGAAACCCUCCGACGUGUCGGAGGUUGACGGUACCGGAGGAAUAAGCACCGGCUAACUUCGUG